rnacentral:lncRNA from 1 species
CAUGCAGAUACUAAAAAAACAGAUAAAAAUAAAUAUAGACAAAUACAUGGAAAAUAAAGAUAUAAAAUAUAUAGAAUUUCUUAAUAUGCAAAAAUUACUAAGACUAAAACAAACAACUACAAAAUAUUAUAAUAAAAUCAAUUUUAAAAGAUAGAUCACCUAGAUUAUCUUAAAGUUUUAAUCUUAUAUAUACUUAAAGAUAUAGAAAUAAUAGAUAUUAAGAAAAUAAUAUUAGAAAAAGUAAUAGACUAUGAAAUUGAAACCAUAAAUUGGCUAGAACAGUUAUACGAA